AGAGUUUGAUCCUGGCUCAGGAUGAACGCUAGCUACAGGCUUAACACAUGCAAGUCGAGGGGCAGCAUGAACUUAGCUUGCUAAGUUUGAUGGCGACCGGCGCACGGGUGAGUAACACGUAUCCAACCUGCCGUCUACUCUUGGACAGCCUUCUGAAAGGAAGAUUAAUACAAGAUGGCAUCAUGAGUCCGCAUGUUCACAUGAUUAAAGGUAUUCCGGUAGACGAUGGGGAUGCGUUCCAUUAGUUUGUUGGCGGGGUAACGGCCCACCAAGACAUCGAUGGAUAGGGGUUCUGAGAGGAAGGUCCCCCACAUUGGAACUGAGACACGGUCCAAACUCCUACGGGAGGCAGCAGUGAGGAAUAUUGGUCAAUGGGCGAGAGCCUGAACCAGCCAAGUAGCGUGAAGGAUGACUGCCCUAUGGGUUGUAAACUUCUUUUAUACGGGAAUAAAGUGAGCCACGUGUGGCUUUUUGUAUGUACCGUAUGAAUAAGGAUCGGCUAACUCCGUGCCAGCAGCCGCGGUAAUACGGAGGAUCCGAGCGUUAUCCGGAUUUAUUGGGUUUAAAGGGAGCGUAGGCGGGUUGUUAAGUCAGUUGUGAAAGUUUGCGGCUCAACCGUAAAAUUGCAGUUGAUACUGUGUGUCUUGAGUACAGUAGAGGUGGGCGGAAUUCGUGGUGUAGCGGUGAAAUGCUUAGAUAUCACGAAGAACUCCGAUUGCGAAGGCAGCUCACUAGACUGCAACUGACACUGAUGCUCGAAAGUGUGGGUAUCAAACAGGAUUAGAUACCCUGGUAGUCCACACAGUAAACGAUGAAUACUCGCUGUUUGCGAUAUACAGUAAGCGGCCAAGCGAAAGCAUUAAGUAUUCCACCU
rnacentral:rRNA from 1 species